GUCUAUGUAUGCCAGCAUAUGUACGUGGUUCAGAGGCGUAGUAACAGGAACUAGACUUUCUUCUGAUUCCCAAUAAUUUAUUGGGAUGAAGUAAUUGAAAUGCUCUAUCGAUCGUAGCACGUAAGAGGGAUCAGCAUCAAAGUUAGAGCGAUAAAGAUCUUCUGCAAAUACCAAGAGACUUCUAAUCCGCACUUGAAGGGAUUUACUGCACUCCCAAUGCCCCAGGAGAAAUCUACCCAGAAACCAUAGCUCUGUCUUAAUCAACUUGAUUUCCUUCCUUUUGUCGUCCGUCAAGUCCUCAUGCUCAUUU
rnacentral:misc_RNA from 1 species